rnacentral:rRNA from 1 species
AACGAACGCUGGCGGCAGGCUUAACACAUGCAAGUCGAACGGGCACCUUCGGGUGUCAGUGGCGAGACGGGUGAGUAACGCGUGGGAACGUACCCUUCGGUUCGGAAUAACCCAGGGAAACUUGGGCUAACACCGGAUACGUCCGCAAGGAGAAAGAUUUAUCGCCGAAGGAUCGGCCCGCGUCGGAUUAGCUAGUUGGUGGGGUAAUGGCCCACCAAGGCGACGAUCCGUAGCUGGUCUGAGAGGAUGANCAGCCACACUGGGACUGAGACACGGCCCAGACUCCUACGGGAGGCAGCAGUGGGGAAUAUUGGACAAUGGGCGAAAGCCUGAUCCAGCCAUGCCGCGUGAGUGAAGAAGGCCUUA